rnacentral:rRNA from 1 species
AGAGUUUGAUCAUGGCUCAGAUUGAACGCUGGCGGCAGGCCUAACACAUGCAAGUCGAGCGGAUGAGUGGAGCUUGCUCCAUGAUUCAGCGGCGGACGGGUGAGUAAUGCCUAGGAAUCUGCCUGGUAGUGGGGGACAACGUUUCGAAAGGAACGCUAAUACCGCAUACGUCCUACGGGAGAAAGUGGGGGAUCUUCGGACCUCACGCUAUCAGAUGAGCCUAGGUCGGAUUAGCUAGUUGGCGAGGUAAAGGCUCACCAAGGCGACGAUCCGUAACUGGUCUGAGAGGAUGAUCAGUCACACUGGAACUGAGACACGGUCCAGACUCCUACGGGAGGCAGCAGUGGGGAAUAUUGGACAAUGGGCGAAAGCUGGAUCCAGCCAUGCCGCGUAUGUGAAGAAGGUCUUCGGAUUGUAAAGCACUUUAAGUUGGGAGGAAGGGCAGUAAGUUAAUACCUUGCUGUUUUGACGUUACCGACAGAAUAAGCACCGGCUAACUUCGUGCCAGCAGCCGCGGUAAUACGAGGGUGCAAGCGUUAAUCGGAAUUACUGGGCGUAAAGCGCGCGUAGGUGGUUCGUUAAGUUGGAUGUGAAAGCCCCGGGCUCAACCUGGGAACUGCAUCCAAAACUGGCGAGCUAGAGUAU